rnacentral:sRNA from 1 species
UCCACUGUAACUUUCCGGGAACAGGC